rnacentral:rRNA from 1 species
GACGAACGCUGGCGGCGUGCUUAAUACAUGCAAGUAGAACGGAAAGGCCCUGCUUUUGUGGGGUUCUCGAGUGGCGAACGGGUGAGUAACACGUGAGUAACCUGUCCUUUAUUUUGGGAUAACUCCAGGAAAAUGGGGAUCAUAUCGGAUAGGAGCUUCUGUUGCAUGGUGGAGGUUGGAAAGUUUCGGCGGUUGGGGAUGUACUCGCGGCUUAUCAGCUUGUUGGUGGGGUAGUGGCUUACCAAGGCUUUGACGGGUAGCCGGCCUGAGAGGGUGACCGGCCACAGUGGGACAGGGAAGCGGCCCAGACUGCUACGGGAGGCAGCAGUGGGGAAUAUUGCACAAUGGGCGGAAGCCGGAUGCAGCGACGCCGCGUGCUGGAUGUCGGCCGUCGGGUUGGAAACCGCGUUCGCCUGUGACGAAGCGUGAGUGACGGUAAUGGGUAAGAAAGCACCGGCUAACUACGUG